rnacentral:rRNA from 1 species
UGUGAAGUGUGGAUGCACAGUCUGCCCUGCCCACUGAAAAGUUUAAAGGGCCGCGGUAUUUGAACCGUGCUAAGGUAGCAUAAUAAAUAGUCUUUUAAUUGAGGUCUAGUAUGAAUGGUCGGACAUGAAGUAAGCUGUUUUAGUUGUAUAACUUGAAUUUUACCUUUAAGUGAAAAGGCUUAAAUUUGGUGGUGGGACGAUAAGACCCUAUAAAGCUUUACAUUUUACUUAUUAGUUGAAGAAAUUAUGGUUUUCUAUACUAGUGAAGUGAAAAUGUUUCGUUGGGGCGACGAGAAUAUAAAAUAAUAACUGUUUUUAUUUUUAAAAUAGAUUUUUUUAGGAGAGUUGAUCCUUUUUAGAGAUUAUAAGAUUAAGUUACUUUAGGGAUAACAGCGUGAUUUUUCUUGAGAGUUCAUAUCGACAGAUAUAGUUGCGACCUCGAUGUUGAAUUAAGAUACCCCCUAGGUGUAGCAGUUUUGGAGGUAGGUCUGUUCGACCUUUAAAAUCUUACAUGAUUUGAGUUCAGACCGGC